GCCUAACACAUGCAAGUCGAACGAGACCUUCGGGUCUAGUGGCGCACGGGUGCGUAACGCGUGGGAAUCUGCCCUUAGGUUCGGAAUAACUCAGGGAAACUUGAGCUAAUACCGGAUGAUGUCUUCGGACCAAAGAUUUAUCGCCUAGGGGUGAGCCCGCGUAGGAUUAGCUUGUUGGUGAGGUAAAGGCUCACCAAGGCGACGAUCCUUAGCUGGUCUGAGAGGAUGAUCAGCCACACUGGGACUGAGACACGGCCCAGACUCCUACGGGAGGCAGCAGUGGGGAAUAUUGGACAAUGGGCGAAAGCCUGAUCCAGCAAUGCCGCGUGAGUGAUGAAGGCCCUAGGGUUGUAAAGCUCUUUUACCCGGGAUGAUAAUGACAGUACCGGGAGAAUAAGCCCCGGCUAACUCCGUGCCAGCAGCCGCGGUAAUACGGAGGGGGCUAGCGUUGUUCGGAAUUACUGGGCGUAAAGCGUACGUAGCCGGUGAUUCAAGUCAGAGGUGAAAGCCCGGAGCUCAACUCCGGAACUGCCUUUGAAACUAGAUCGCUUGAACGUCGGAGAGGUGAGUGGAAUUCCGAGUGUAGAGGUGAAAUUCGUAGAUAUUCGGAAGAACACCAGUGGCGAAGGCGGCUCACUGGACGACUGUUG
rnacentral:rRNA from 1 species